GACGAAUGCUGGCUGCGUGCUUAACACAUGCAAGUCGAACGGUGAAGGAGGGCUUGCCCUCCGGAUCAGUGGCGAACGGGUGGGUAACACGUGGGCAACCUGCCCCUCACUCUGGGAUAACGCCGGGAAACCGGCGCUAAUACCGGAUACGACCUGGUGCGACAUCGCACCGGGUGGAAAGAACUUCGGUGAGGGAUGGGCCCGCGGCCUAUCAGCUUGUUGGUGGGGUAACGGCCCACCAAGGCGACGACGGGUAGCCGGCCUGAGAGGGCGACCGGCCACACUGGGACUGAGACACGGCCCAGACUCCGACGGGAGGCAGCAGUGGGGAAUAUUGCGCAAUGGGCGAAAGCCUGACGCAGCGACGCAGCGUGAGGGACGAAGGCCUUCGGGUUGUAAACCUCUUUCAGCGGGGACGAAGCGAAAGUGACGGUACCCGCAGAAGAAGCACCGGCUAACUACGUGCCAGCAGCCGCGGUAACAC
rnacentral:rRNA from 1 species